rnacentral:rRNA from 1 species
UCCGUAGGCGGUGUGGCGAGUCGGUAGUGAAAUCUCUCGGCUUAACUGAGAGGCUGCUGCCGAAACUGCCAUGCUCGAGUGCGAGAGAGGCGAGUGGAAUUGCGGGUGUAGCGGUGAAAUGCGUAGAUAUCUGCAGGAACAUCCGAGGCGAAAGCGGCUCGCUGGAUCGCAACUGACGCUGAGGGACGAAAGCUAGGGGAGCAAACAGGAUUAGAUACCCUGGUAGUCCUAGCCCUAAACCAUCAGGACUUGGGGUUUGCCCUGUACGGGGCAAGUCCCGGAGCUAACGCGUUAAGUCCUGCGCCUGGGGAGUACGGUCGCAAGGCUGAA